GACGAACGCUGGCGGCGUGCUUAACACAUGCAAGUCGAACGAAGAAGCACCAGCUUUCUGGUGUGGAUUAGUGGCGAACGGGUGAGUAAAACGUGAGUAACCUGCCCCUCACUCUGGGAUAAACCUUGGAAACUGGGUCUAAUACUGGAUACGACCGAUCUCCGCAUGGGGUGUUGGUGGGAAGUUUUUGUGGUGGGGGAUGGACUCGCGGCCUAUCAGCUUGUUGGUGGGGUAAUGGCGUACCAAGGCGACGACGGGUAGCCGCCCUGAGAGGGCGACCGGCCACACUGGGACUGAGGCACGGCACAGACUGCUACGGGAGGCAGCAGUGGGGAAUAUUGCACAAUGGGCGAAAGCCGGAUGCAGCGACGCCGCGUGAGGGAUGACGGCCUUCGGGUUGUAAACCUCUUUCGCCAGGGACGAAGCUAACGUGACGGUACCUGGAGAAGAAGCACCGGCUAACUACGUG
rnacentral:rRNA from 1 species